GACGAACGCUGGCGGCGUGCUUAACACAUGCAAGUCGAACGGAAAGGCCCUGCUUUUGUGGGGUGCUCGAGUGGCGAACGGGUGAGUAACACGUGAGUAACAUGCCCUUGACUUUGGGAUAACUUCAGGAAACUGGGGCUAAUACCGGAUAGGAGCUCCUGCUGCAUGGUGGGGGUUGGAAAGUUUCGGCGGUUGGGGCUGGACUCGCGGCUUAUCAGCUUGUUGGUGGGGUAGUGGCUUACCAAGGCUUUGACGGGUAGCCGGCCUGAGAGGGUGACCGGCCACAUGGGGACUACGAUACGCACCAGACGCCUACGGGAGGCAGCAGUGGGGAGUAUGGCACAAUGGGCGGAAGCCUGAUGCAGCAACGCCGCGUGCGGGAUGACGGCCUUCGGGUUGUAAACCGCUUUCGCCUGUGACGAAGCGUGAGUGACGGUAAUGGGUAAAGAAGCACCGGCUAACUACGUG
rnacentral:rRNA from 1 species